rnacentral:lncRNA from 1 species
GAAUUGCAUGCAUUUUUGCAUGUAAUUAGGCUAUAAAUAGAGGUGUUUUCAAAUGUUGAAGGACUUUUGCCUCUUUUAUCAUUUUCAUCAUCUCAACAAAAGAAAAAAGAAAGCUUCCAAUCUCAUUUUAUCUCCAUUACUUUCUACACCAAAAUUGGGUCCCACAACCCGGUUCUUUGUCUAGAGGAUAGCAGUUGAGUACUAGUGGUGGUCUCGGGUAGAAUUGGUAAGAAGACAUCAAACAUUUUGAAAGCUUCAAAGGUAAUACUUCUUAAAACCCUAAUUUGAUUAGUUUAUGGUUACAUGUUAAUUGUGGCAAUUAGGGUAGAAAUUCGAUUCUUUUUCCGCUGUGCAUGACUUAGUUCUAUCAAGUAUCAAUGUAUGAAGCGAAUAAAAUUUUAGGUGCACUAAGAAUGAAUUGGGAAAAGAUUCACGCAUGUCCUAAUGAUUGUUGUUUGUAUAGAAAAGAAUAUGCUGAUGCAAUCGAAUGUUCUGAAUGUGGUGAAUCAAGGUGGAAGCAUGCUAAUAAUGCAAACAAAGGACAAAAAAGAUUCCUAGGCAUUAUACUUUCCACCGAUUCUACAUUUCAAAAGAUUGUUUCGAAGUAUUAAUUACCAUGCUAAAAAUUUGAUUUGGCAUGCUAAUGAGCGAGUAGUUAAUGGAAAAUUACGACAUCCCGCGGACUCUUCAUAAUUUAGUUGGUCCCAAAUUUCAUAAUUUGUAAUUUUAUCAUUUGAUUUGACAUUUAAUUUGGGAUAGUUUGUGAUUGAGUAAAAAGUUCUUACUCAAUACUUCGUUUUUCGAAAUAUGUGUUUCAAUUUUACAAAACCAAUAUUAAUAGGAAAAAAAAAACUCCCUUUUCUUAAAACAUGUUCUUAGUUUGUGCCAUGCACAUGUGAAAGUUGUAUUUUAUUUUAUUAAAAAAUCUAUAUAUUUCAACCCGAGAAGGUAAAUUAUUUGAUGUAAAAUCUUAUUUUAUUUUAUUGGAUAUUUUUAAAAAUAGUAAAAUAAAUUAAAAUAUUUAUAAGCUAUACCAAAAUUUUAGAUUCUAUUAAUGAUAGUCUUCUAUCACUAUAGUAUAUCAACGAUUAUCAAUAAUAAAAUUUUCUAUAGGCCAUAAAUAUUUUGUAAAAUUUGCUAUUUUUGAAAAUUUUUCAUUUUAUAAAAGUUGUUCGUAAUUUGUUUAUUUGAAUACUAUUAUUAUUUUGAAACUUUUGGCAUUUGAGUGUAGUAAUAAAUUUUAGAAAUAAUUUACAAAAGCAAUUAAAUGUUAUAAUUACAUGAUGCCACAUUUUCCACACAAAUGACAUAAACAGGGUUCUUACAUAUUUUGAUGUGAAUAGCACAAAUCUCAUAUCUACAAAAAGAAAAGAAAAAUAAUAAGAGAGUCAACACGUAAAGAAAAACAAGAGUGGUAAUCGCUUGAUGACAACCAACUAAAUAAACGAUUACAAUACUAUGGAGAGAUUUUAGAUAGGUACCAUUUCUAGUAGAGGGAAAAUAUAGACAAUAAAACAACAUGUAGUGUUGUUUAAAAUAAUUAGUAGAAGAUGGCAUUUCUAUGCCUACGAGGGUGAAAGAAAAAUAGAUAAAUUAAACGGGAGUUUUUAAAAAAUAUAACAAAUCGAUAAAAUAUUUACACUAGAACAAUUUAAAAAAUAAAAAAAGUCUAUGGGCCAGUAAUGAAAAAUACAAAAAAUGUCUAAAUCAACGCAAGAUUAAUUGGCCACUCGCAUACGUAAUAUAUUUGGUAUGACUACACUAUCGUUUAGAUAUAGUUACCAAAAUCUAAACAAUAUUUUUCAAGAUUCUUUGGUACACGAUCGUUUAGAUCUGGUUACUAAAACCUAAACGAUUGAGUACCAAUACUCCAACGACUUUUUCAAGAUCUUUUAUAAUUUUGGUAUAUGACUAAACCAAAUAACAUUGAAAACAAAAAAUACAAGAUUUAUGAUUGAUUGAAAACAAAGAUCGAGAUUUUAAAAACAUUAUAAAAAAAUUACAAAAUAAAUAAAAAGACGAUGAAAAGGAAAAGAAAAAAUGAAAGAAAAUUGAAAAGAAAGAAAAAUGUGAAAUAUUUUAAAAAUUGGUCGAUUUUUUAAAUUAACUUAAAUAAAAAAAAAAUAUAAGUUGAUGAUAUUAAUUACCUCUUAAACUUUUGUUGAGAAUGUAUAGGAAAUAUUUCUAUAGUUGUUGAUUGUAGAAAUAAAAAUGAAAAAGUGAGAAAAAUAAUACAAGUAUACAAAUAUAAAAUAUAAAAUAAUAAAAAGAAGAAGUCAAUAUACCUUUCAAACUCUUUUAUAGUUGUAGAAUAGAACAAGAAUAUAUUUCAUAAUUAAAUGAUAAAGUUACGUUUUUUUCAUAUUUCUAUUUAUUAAUUACAUUUAAUAAUUAAACAAAACAAACGAUGGAAAAAUUUAUAGAUGUUCACGAAUGUUAGAAUAUUGAAAGAUUUUAUUCAAAAUUAGAAAAAAAAAUAUAAAAACUCAUAAUUAAAAAAUGAAGUUAUUAGAAACAUUUUUAGUUAAAAAAUGAACAAAUUUAUUUAUUUUCAUAUAAGUUGGAGAGGGGAAGGGAGUGAUGAUGUUUUGGAGGUUAGUGGAGAUUAAUUAAGAAAUUAAAAGAGUGAAAUGGAAAGUUAGGAAUUGAUAAUUGCAUAAUACGCGUUGAAAGAAAGAGAAGUUAGUGAAUGAUUAAUCCCUAACAUAGUGCAUAUUUUAGUUUAGUCGUUGACAUCCUUCGACCAAUUCAAAUAUUCUUUUGACAUUUUAACUCUUUUUCUUUUUCUUCUUCUUCUUCUUCUUCUUUUUAUUUCAAUUUUCCAAAUUCAACUUUCUAGAAAAUGAAUAGUUCCAUUUUUUUCUUCUUUCUUUCUUGGAUUUUGGCAGUGGGAAACAACCAUUCACACCUAUAAUCUAUCAUUUCCCUUUUCCUCUUUUCUAUUAAACAAUAUCAAAAAGUCACCGAUUUUGAUUUUAUUUUAGACCAUUUCUCCAUCAUAACUUCUUCACAAUUUUUGCUCGGUUUUUCCUUUUUUUUUUUCCUUUUUUUUUUUUUUUUAAGUAAAUUUGUUUUUGUACUAAAACCAUUUAUAAGGUUUUGCUUUUAUUUAUUUAUUUCUUUACAUUCUAUUUUUUAAAUGGGUUUACCAUACUUUUCAAAUUUCAUUAUACAUAUUCUUACAUUUUACUUAUGUAUUUGCAAACAAGUUAGUUGCCAAGUUUAGAAAGGUUUUUUCUUCUGCCUAAAGUCAUUUUUCUAAAAUUUCUUUAUAACCCUAAUAAAUAACAAAAAAAGAAACAUUUUUAAAUAUAUGAUAUUGAAUUAAAAUAUUUACAAAAUAUAACAAAAAUUUUAGAAAAUGUUCGACACAGGGGAUUAUAAGUACUAUUAUAGUAUGCGUUUGAGAUGCAGACUAUUAUAGUCUAUUAAGUUGUGUUUGAGAGGACAUUAUUAUAAUAUGAGAUUUUCCCUACUCAUUUUUUUUGUUUACGUAUAUACUGUACAUAAAAUACACAUUUUUCUUAAAUUUUUUUCUUUCUUUUUUGGUAAAAUGAGAAAACUGUAUAUAGAGUUACAUACAAGUGUUAGUUGAGUUAAACUUAUGUUGACAAUAUAUAUUAUAUUUGUUUAAUAACAAAUUGAAUUUAAAUUUUAGAUCAUCCCCUAAAAUAAUGCAAAUUACGAUUAUCCACUUAUGUUGUAGCAUAUGUUGUUGACACAAUUACAUUGUAAUUUUAUGCUUUUAAAUAAUGUGAUGAACUAUUCGUUCUAUAUUAUGAUCACAUAUUCACAUAUUAAUAUUUAUUUGCUCGUAUAAUCAUAUACUUUUUCAAUUAAAAAAACUAACAUUAAGAUGAAUUUGAUACAAAAUCAACAAUAAGAACGAUUUCCUUAAUAGUGUCAUUGAAUCAUAAUCAUGAUUGUUUAACUAACCAAACUUAAUAAUAACCAAUAGAAUUAAUAUUUUCCAAACAUAAUAUAUGUCGGGUAUGAAUGAUGUUAUAAACAUAAGAUUUUUGGGACACACAUAAAAGGUAAUAAAUUCCUCUCGGUAUAGGAUAAUCUAUAUAUUUCAAAUACAAUGUAUUUAAAUAGCUCAAAAGAUGAGACAAAAUAUUGGAAGCAGCACGCAGUGUAUUUUGCAAACAACAUUCAAAUUUGAUAAAUCUUAACUAAAACUAUUAUUUUAUUGUUGGACAAGAUUGCAACAAUCUCCCCAAUAGUGAUAGCAAAUAUAUCUACAAGAUUUUGAGAUUUGUUAUACUUUAAACAAUUUAUUAAUAAUAUCAGUAAUUAAUAUAAUUCCUUAAAUGACCUUAAAUAUUUUUCCCUCUUCUUCAUUAUUUUACCUAUUCAUUAAGCAUUGUAUCUUGUAGGACGUCACUCAUGUUUUUGUCUAUUCCUUACUUAGCUUGGAAUUCUUUUUGCUCUCUCUUUGAUAGCGACUUGUCUUACUACAAUUAAAACAUGUUACUACCUUCAUGACCCCGCAGACCUCUGAAUACACUACCUACGUCGUGGUUUCUAUUUUUGGUUGCUACUCCAGUGCGAUCCUUGGGUAAAACUUGCCUUAGCUCGUUUACUAUCCUCUUUCCCCUCUGCAUUCUUCCUUCCCUCUUCUCCACUAAAUGUGGAUGUCAUCGCCCUCUUCCAUUUUGUCAUGAACACACAAUGCCACUUCAACUAACUCAACAUAACUACACCGUGUGGCAAAAGUUAUGACUAUUGUCCAUAUCUCGCUUCUUAAUCCAGUUUCAAAACACCUAUGCCUAUCUCUUUUAGUGGCCACUAUCACCAUUGCAUACUUAGCCAACUCCAUAAACUUCUUUGCAUACUCUGUGACCUCGCUCGCCUUGCUCUAGGUGGAAAAGUUCAUCUUGCCUCCCCUCUUUAUAAGUCUCUAAGAAAUACUUCUCAUUAAACACUGCCUUAAACUCCUCCCAAUUCACCUCGCCUCGUCUACUUUCUUCUAACACCUAUCAGUCUUCUGCUUUCCUAUGAAGUAAGAAAGCUGCUAAGUCAAUCUUCCUCUCCUCGAGGCACUGCAGUACCCUAAAACACUUCUCCAAUGCUCUUAACCACUUAUUCGCCUGCUCUAGUUCUACUGUUCUUGAAAACUCUUUGUCUCCAAAUGCCUUGACUUGCUCUAUUCCAUACUUCUUCUUUCGGCUUUCUUGAUAAACUAUCUUUUAAUUUUGCACCACUCGAUUAUAUAACUCCUCUUCUAUCACUCUCUUAACAUUCGAAUUUACUGACUGGGCCUCUGAGUCCAUAGUGGGCUCAGUUGUUGUGCUUGGCUUGCUCCCUGGUCGUCCAUGUCCUCUUCCUCGCAACAUGAUUUUUUCUCAACAUUUCUGACAGAGAACAACAAUGCAUAUUAGUAUAACAAUUAGUGAACUAACUCAACUUCUCAGAUUUUGCUAAAACCAUCUUAACUUCCAAGACUUUUAGAUAUGCUCUAAUACCAAACUAGUAUCAAACUAUCUAAAACGCAACUUAAACCUUUACUGUUCCUGUAAACCCUGAAUCUUAAGGAUUGUGUCUGUUAAAGAGAUUGGCAUGUUUGAUUUUGAUGGAGUUAAGAAUUUUUCAUGUAAGGCUUACUAUGUAUAUCACUUCAAAUGAGAAUUUUCUCUAAUUCUACUUCUAUCUUUUGGCUCAAAUUACUUUUAAAAGUUAAAAAAUUGAGUCUAGUUUCUAGACUGGGGUUGCUGACUAAGUUUGAUGCGAGGAACAUUAAGUUCGAGCUUAAUGAAGGGAGAAAGACAUUUUUGGGAGGAAUAUGAGCAGUCUUGAUUACAAGAAGGCUAUAGAAUGUGUAUCGUAGUGUUUGUGGUUGCGACUUUGAGGUAAGAAAGCUAAGAAAAAUUCAAGACACUUUGUACAAGAAAGUUUUCUCAAAAGAGAUAGCUUUUUAGCUAUAAUUUUUCAAAGUGGAGUUAAGUUUCUAGAUGAAGGGUUCUGAGCAGUGUUGGUGGCUCACCGAGUGUCAAGGAUUCCAAGGCGAGACUAAGUGUGUGUUUUGGUGGAGAAAGAGGUUAGCAUGUGCUUGACAGCCAGUGUUGAGUGCAUGGCCAAGUGUUGUGCAGCAACACCUGCGCGUAAAGGCAAGUAACACGCAAGGAGCGUGGCAACCCUGCGUGAAAGAGACGCGUGCAAGGUAUCAUGCAAGAGUCCAUAUGAGGUGUGUGGCAACCAUGCAUGCAAGGGAAAUGUGCGAGGUUUCAUGCAAGAGUUUGUAUGAGGCGCGCGACAUACUACAAGUGAGUUCAGCACGCGACAUGGCUAGGCAAGCCUUGCGCACUCAUGUCGGCCCCUAUCGUGGUGCUUUAUGUGCUAACCCACGUCAUUAGAUGAUUUUAGGUUGUUUUAGUGGUUUUGGAAAAUUUUGAUAAUAGUUUUUGGUGUUUUUAUGAUCAAAGAGAAUUAAAUUGAUUUAUUUUUCGUUAUUUAAGAAUCAAGAAGAGAUUGAGCAAGUCUACAAGUCAAGGGUUUAAGCUACCAUUUGUAAGUGACUAAAGGAUUUCUAAAGAAGUUUUUAAAGCAUGUUUUAUUAAUUUCUAUUUGAAUUGAAUGUUUAAGAUUUAUUAAUGAUGAUGAGAUUUCCAAGUAAGAUUGCAUGUUUUAUUUAUAAUCUUUUGAAUGUGUUUGUGAUAGUAAAUAAUUUUAUUUACAAGUAUGCUUACAGUUUUUUAAAUUGAAUUGUUUAUUACUUAAGAAAGAUAUUUUCAAAAGCAUGAGUUUGUUAAGUAAGGCUUUAAGUAAGAAAACCGUGUUCAUUCUAUACACUUAGUUACCUAUGGUCAAUGUGCACAGAGUUUUAAGGGUGUAAAGCUAUGUUGACCACUUAACUGCUACCAUCGAGUUCAAACAAAAUAGUAUCAAUUAUACUCUACUAUCUUGACUAAGUUAUUAGACACUGUAGUUUUGAAUCAUCAAGCUUACAUGAUAGAGUUCAGGGUAUAGGAUAAAUAGAGAUAAAAGAGAAAGAAUUGUUUUAGAAAACAAAAAGUGGUAUUUAAGGGCAAAAAGAGAUUGCCACGCAAAAGGUUUCAAGAUCAGUUCUUUGAUAUACUCUAUGAAUAAUAAAUUAUUUAUGCAAAAAGGUUAAGCUUUAAGUUAAACGAUUUCAAAGGCAUAUUUUAAGAUCAGUCCUUCACUGGGCUAUUUAGCUCUUUAUUUUCAAAGGUUUUCCACUUUUCAGGAAGAGAUCAUGAUUCGAAAGUCUGACUUGCUCUCAUUAGUUUGAACUUUUGAAGUACAACAACUCGUAUGUGUGCCUAUGAUGAACUAAAUUUUAAUAUUUUCACAAAGGUGAACAAUAGGUAAAUGUAAAGGAGGUUAGGACAUUUAGAGUUAGAUUAAUGAAUGGUUUAUAAGAAAGCAGUAGCUUCUUGUCAAUAAACAUAUGUUUAUUGAUUAAACAACACUUUGAUUUCAUCAAAACUUGAUUUGAAUAUCUUUCUUUCUUUUCUUCAUUUGACUAUAUUUACAUUUAAUUUAUUCACUCCUACCUGUUGUUGGUUGUAGGUGUGGGCUAAUUCAGAAGUUUGCUUAAGAUUCAUGGUGGAGUUUGGACUAAUUUAGACCUUCCAGAGUAGACAAUCAACUCUCUCAAUGUAUUUUUUUUCUUUUAUAUAAAGGAUGAUCAAUAUCAUAGUUAAACUUCUCAUUUUGUUUUUAGAGCCAAGUUGUAUAUAUAAACGUACACAAUAUUAAAAUUUCAUUUUGUAUUGAUACGAGUAAAAGAAAAAUAUUAAUUAUAGUUUCUAAAAAAACAUUGUUGACUUAACCCGACACAAUUAAUGACGAAUUUUAAACUAUUUGGCGUCAUUAAAAAAAUGAACAAUUAAUUAAAUCAAAUUCAAUUAACACAUUUAUUUAACAGGUUCUUCCAAAAAUGGAAUAAACCGACAAAAUAUUUACGCUGCAUAGAACAAAUUUGAAAACGAAAAAAGUCCACAAGCGCACAAUGAGAAAUACAAAAAAUGUCUUAGUCAACACGUGAUUAAUCGCAUAUCCACACGAUCGUAUAGUUCUUUUUAAAUGAUGGGAAAAUUGCUUCAAAGCUAAACGAUCGUGUUGGCCAUGCUAUAAACGAUCGUGUUGACUAGGUAAGCGAUCGUUUAGAUCAUAUUCACAUGAUUGUGUAGUUCUUUUUAAACGAUGAAAAAGGGCUUUAUAUCUAAAUAAUCGUGUUAAUCAUGCUAAACGAUUGUGUGUUGACUAG